UAUGGGGGGACCAUCCUCCAAGGCUAAAUACUACUGACUGACCGAUAGUGAACCAGUACCGUGAGGGAAAGGCGAAAAGAACCCCUGUGAGGGGAGUGAAAUAGAACCUGAAACCGUGUACGUACAAGCAGUAGGAGCAGGCUUUGUCCUGUGACUGCGUACCUUUUGUAUAAUGGGUCAGCGACUUAUAUUCAGUGGCAAGGUUAACCAUCUAGGGGAGCCGUAGGGAAACCGAGUCUUAACUGGGCGUUCAGUCUCUGGAUAUAGACCCGAAACCAGGUGAUCUAGCCAUGGGCAGGUUGAAGGUUGAGUAACAUCAACUGGAGGACCGAACCGACUAAUGUUGAAAAAUUAGCGGAUGACUUGUGGCUAGGGGUGAAAGGCCAAUCAAACCUGGAGAUAGCUGGUUCUCCCCGAAAGCUAUUUAGGUAGCGCCUCGGACGAAUACUACUGGGGGUAGAGCACUGUUAAGGCUAGGGGGUCAUCCCGACUUACCAACCCUUUGCAAACUCCGAAUACCAGUAAGUACUAUCCGGGAGACACACGGCGGGUGCUAACGUCCGUCGUGGAGAGGGAAACAACCCAGACCGCCAGCUAAGGUCCCAAAUUACUACUAAGUGGGAAACGAUGUGGGAAGGCUCAGACAGCCAGGAUGUUGGCUUAGAAGCAGCCAUCAUUUAAAGAAAGCGUAAUAGCUCACUGGUCGAGUCGGCCUGCGCGGAAGAUGUAACGGGGCUAAGUAGUAAACCGAAGCUGCGGCAAUGUGCUUUUGCACAUUGGGUAGGGGAGCGUUCUGUAAGCGGUUGAAGGUGUGUGGUAACGCAUGCUGGACGUAUCAGAAGUGCGAAUGCUGACAUGAGUAACGAUAAAGGGGGUGAAAAACCUCCUCGCCGGAAGACCAAGGGUUCCUGUCCAACGUUAAUCGGGGCAGGGUAAGUCGACCCCUAAGGCGAGGCCGAAAGGCGUAGUCGAUGGGAAACGGGUUAAUAUUCCCGUACUUCUUACAAUUGCGAUGGGGGGACGGAGAAGGCUAGGUGGGCCUGGCGACGGUUGUCCAGGUUCAAGUGCGUAGGCUUAAGAGUUAGGUAAAUCCGGCUCUUUUUAAG
rnacentral:rRNA from 1 species